rnacentral:lncRNA from 1 species
AGUUUCUUGAAGUGUUUUACUUGUUGGAGCCAAUACUAGCGUGCCCGCCGUUGACUCAGUAGCAAUUGAUUUAGCUGAGGUUUCUUUUUUCCCCCAUUUUCUGAGCUAAUUUCGUGUUGCCGUAACUUUGAGUGAAAGAAAAGGGAAGCGUUUGAUGGAGCUAUGUUACAUGUAAUCUCAUCUCAUUUCGUCAUGUAAUUGGUAUGCGUUUUCGCGAGUAUUAUUGUUCCGGUGUGCAAAUGAUUCUGAGCUGGUAACUAAAUCUUCCAGAAUUUAUUUAACGGACACGUGAAGAGGCAAUGAGUUGAAAUAUUAGAGGGAAAUAUAAUUAUCUGAAUUCUGGGAAAAAAGAAGAUAAUUUUGAAAGGUAAUGAAAAACGGUACAACUAUAUAGUAUCAUCAUCUAAGGGGGUUGUACUUGUAUGUUGUAGGUGUGGCGCAAAGCCCCUCUCAUGUAAUACCUAAUUAAAUGGAAAGGAAAAAUAGAAGCUAGCCCCAAAUGUGGGGGAAACAAACAACAAUGGAACUCAUAUGCUGUGGCUUGAAAAAUAUUUGUUGCCCUUCUUGCAGGACACAAGAAUUUGCUGUAGGUUAACUAACAAGCUGGAAGAUCUGCUGGUGCUGCCUCUAGUGUUUCCAGUUCUCCAAUUCCGUUCUCUACUAGGAAAGCCGUUGCAAGUCCCCAGCCGAUGUGAACAUCCAAGUGACAGUGCAGCAGCCAUACCCCUGUUUGCAGUUCAAUUUUUAAUCUCAAAGUUACAAAUAUGUGUUAGAACAUUAGACAUUUAGAAUAUGUGAUUUGUGUCUCAAAUUGAACCUGGAUUAUCUGCUACGAAUCUGAUCACCGUCCAUCCACCUACAGGAACACUUGCUGUAUUGCGCAGAGGAGGGUCUACAAGAUUGAAUUUGCCUGUAUC